AGCUGGCAACCUCCCCGCUGCCUCAGGUUUCCCAGUUGUGCCAGUUGUAUUUGGUUACAGAUCCCUGUGUUUGCAGUAUUUCCUGUUCCUUCCUUUUGGCUGCGAGAAGAAAGUGUGCCGAAAUUCUGACCUAGUAAAGCUCUUAUGCUUGGAACUUCAACACUUUAUUUUUGGAGGCUAUGAAAUUGAAGGAUUGGUGAAGCGCACUGCCUCUCAACUUGGAGUAGGGCCCACAGUGUUGAAAGGUAGAAAUCUUCAUGGGCGGAAUUUCUGAAGAUGUGGGCACGCAUAUUAAUGCAUAGCUGAUUUAAGAAAGCCAGAAUACCUUUCAUUUUGAGGAUCUGUACAAAGAAAAAAAAAAUCGCCAGAAUAAGCUUGGCACAAGGAAA